UUGGAAAGUCAGGUGUGAAAACCUACAGCUUAACUGUAGAACUGCACUUGAAACUCCCAACCUAGAGUAUGGAAGGGGCAGAUGGAAUUAGUGGUGUAGGGGUAAAAUCCGUAGAUAUCACUAGGAAUACCCAAAGCGAAGGCGAUCUGCUGGGACAUUACUGACGCUAAGGCGUGAAAGCGUGGGGAGCAAACAGGAUUAGAUACCCUGGUAGUCCACGCCCUAAACGAUGAACACUAGUCGUCGCUCUGCUAGUCAGGGCGGUGAUGCACUUAACAGAUUAAGUGUUCCGCCUGGGGAGUACGGUCGCAAGAUUAAAACUCAAAGGAAUAGACGGGGACCCGCACAAGUGGUGGAGCAUGUGGUUUAAUUCGAAGAUACGCGAAGAACCUUACCUGGCCUUGACAUUGAUUGAACACUCUAGAGAUAGAGUGGUGCCCUUCGGGGAACAUGAAAACAGGUGCUGCACGGCUGUCGUCAGCUCGUGUCGUGAGAUGUUGGGUUAAGUCCCGCAACGAGCGCAACCCUCGUCCUUAGUUGCAAACUAUUCGGUAGUGCACUCUAAGGAGACUGCCUUCGCAAGGAGGAGGAAGGUGAGGACGACGUCAAGUCAUCAUGGCCCUUAUGGCCAGGGCUACACACGUGCUACAAUGGGGCGUACAGAGUGUUGCGAUACC
rnacentral:rRNA from 1 species